UACGAGUGAUAUUGAAGCCUUUGAUGAUGCCAUGAGACAAGAAAGAUGUGGAGAGAAUGGAGAAUGAUCCGAGGGAACAGUCAUCUGGGGGAUGCCGUCGUUACAGCCAAGAACGACAAAGGUUAGUCGCUGCUCAUGUUUUGUGAAUUCGAGCACUAUGCAGCAGUAGUUGCAGUUUUAUUUUAUUAUGUACCUACUAUAAGCUGUACUUGAGCAGUAGUAGGAUGGAGCAAUUUCUGGGAUGUUCUGGGCUCCACGGAGGGAAAGAAGCAUGAGUAUCUUUUUCAAGCUUUAGUGAUUCAUGCAACUUGUGAAAGGUGCUCCCGACG
rnacentral:lncRNA from 1 species